GGCGGAAUUCCCUAAAAGAAGUCCCAUUAUAUUAGAGUAUUAGGGUUUAGUUCUCUCUCUUGUUUUACUUCUCUCUUAUUUUACAUCUCUCUUAGCCGUCAUCCCGUCAAACUUUCACUUCCUCUCUUAUUUUACUUCUCUCUCUGUCUCGCUGUCUCUCUCCUCACUCAAUCUCCUGCCUCCAAUAUUGUUCAGUUUUGCUUGAUAAUGUUAGAAAUUCGAAAAAACGAUUAGAAGAAUCUUAUCUUCUUCUCUGAGGGAAAGAAAAAGGACACAAUUUGCAUUGCCCAUGCUGAUGAAACAUGUGAAGAACUUAAGAUUGGAAGACUACUUCGCACUUACCUUCAAAAGUACUUCCUAUUUUGCUACUUGAGCAGCACAAACUUUGUAAAUUUUACUAGUCUUCUAAGGAAAAAAUAAAUUGUUGUUUCUUGUAUUUUUAUUAAAUUUGUGGCCAAAUGUACUAAUUAAAAAUUUUGGAAUAAAUAAAAAUUUGCAUUAAUGAAGCA